GCCUGGUUGCCCGGGUCCCGGCUGGAGCUCGCAUCCCGCUGGGGGAUGGAACGUGCGGCCGGCUUCGUUGCCCAGGCGCCUUGGGUUCCACCGCGGUCCUCCGGCUCCCGCUUUGGGGUGCUGCAGCCUGAAACAACGCCCUUCCACAAUUCUUUUGCGUCCUUUAGGUGUCGGGCUGCAAAUCUGGUUGCAAAAUUCAAGUUUUCCCGCUUCUGCCACAGUUAGUGGGGGAAAAAGAAUCUCAGGGUUUGUCUGGCUGGGUUUUGUCCCUAGAGACUCCUUGUGCAAUCCACCAGUCCCGAGGGGUUGCGUGGGUGCUUGGAGGGAGGGAAAGUGGGCUGAGGCCCAGGAUGGCUCCUCGCAGGUAUGGCCUCCCUCAGGAUUUCUCCUAGACAGGUCUGCCAGAGAUUUCUUCUUUCUUUCUUUUUAAUUUCUGAAGUCCUCCAGCCAUUUGGCCAUUUGCUGUUUCCACCAAUGACAGCCUUUGGAUUGUGGCCAUUACCCACGAUGGACUGUGUCUCUGAUAACAAAAGACUGAAUUAUCUCCAAAUGCCCUAGAGACCAGUUCUCCUCACAGGGACCCUGUUUAGCAUUAGCCGUGUUGGGGAGGUGAGGAGAUCCCCAAGUCCUUGCACCUGCACCCACCCUGAGAAGGGCUCACCGUGGGACUGCUGCUGCUGUUGACCUCUCUUGUGAGCUGGGCCUGGGCCUGCGGGCGUGUUUCUAGCCCGGGAUGGCCAACAAGAGCUGGGUAGGGUGCUUCAUGCCACCUGAAUUCUCAGGGCCUUCCUCUCCUCAUCUCACAUUCUAACACCUUGCACACCUCCUUCUCAGCACUUGUGACUCACACUUUGCAGUUUUCCUCUGUUUUUUCAUGAGUAAUCCACCUCUGCCCUCGAAUCAAAGCUGUGGGAAGGCAGGGACCACGUCGGGUUUGUUCAUUGUUGAGCCCGCAGCAUGGGACCUGACUCCUGGCAGGUACUCGGAUGUGUCUGUGCUGGCUGCUGGUGCUGGUUUCUCCAUGCUAACUUUGGCCCAUCUGGUUUCAAAGGUGAGAAGUCUAUCUUUUCCCCUGAGUGGUUCAGGUCACCGAAUGCUUGUCGGGGAAUUGAAGGCUUUUCUAGCCAUUAUGGGUGGCAGUACAGGUGGAAAAGAUACCAUCCCAAGCUGAAUAAUAAUAAGGCUGCCUUCUCCACCCCUGUUCAUAAGUACCUUUUUUGUGACUCAAGCUGAGCUGGAAAUGAAGUGUGGCCCUGUGAUGAGGCAGUGGGAUGGUUUGGUCUUAAAACCCUUAAAAAGUAUGGAGGCCCCCCAGGUAUUUUGUUUAUAUGUGUUAUGUCUUUCAGUAGUCAUCGUAGUAGAAUGAAAACAGAAAUGUUUAAGACACAAGAACACACAAGCACACAUUCCAGUAGUCAUCAGGGUGAUGAUAUCAUUACAUGUCAUGUGCCUUCUAGAAAACUCCAUUGUAUACCUGUGAGACAAGGAGGGCGAGAAGAGCAAGUGACAUCACAGUGUUGUGAAAAUAGUUUUGCCUUUGAGAAUCCCUUUGCAAGGUCCCAGGGGCCCCACUUUGAGAACCACUGACUAGAAAACAUAACCUUUAGGGAUCUCUAGUUUCAGUUGUCACCCUCCUCUUCCCAGUUGUCAGGGCCACACCCUGGGAGCAAGGGCCCCAGUUCUGUAUGAGGAUUGUCAGAUGGUUGAGCUUUAUUACUGUUAUUGGUACUGAUUUAUCAGGCCUUUUUUAAAAGGAAGUUCGUGGGCGCCAACACACCUGCGUGGGCCCUGCAUUCCUUGAGGUGUCAUCACAUCCUCUCUCCCCUCCCCCAGGGUGUGGCGUCCCUCUUUACUUGGACUUUCCUUUCUGGAAGGGAGGGCCGGGCCAGAGCUUCCUGGAUCUCCUAAGCAGAAUUGGCUCCGAGGCCUGUCUCACAAGAGGGCCUGGGCUGUGUAAGGAAGGAAUGUGGAAAAUAGUUUGAAUUUGAUAAAGGUGCUGUGGAGGAGGGGAACCCUUUCAUCCUGAGAGCUGCUCGGGCCACAAGUGUGUUCACAGGGCCUGAAUUUCAGCAAUUCUCUGGAAGCAUGAAGCCUGGAGAAAAGCACACAGAAGGGUUUGUAUCCCUGUAUCUUUGUUUGAAGACUGAAGUCUAAUCUCAUUUCUCUCCAUCAUCCCUCCCCACCCCCAAAUCCUUGAGCUAAAGCUGAUCAAGACCUACAUAUGGAAGGAAAAGCUGGCCUGGGAGAAUUAACACUCAGUGAGCUGGGAAGAUAGGCGCCAGAAUGAGAUCAUCUCCACGGUCCCUUCCAGCUCCUAACGUUCUGUGGUACCCGGGGGAUAAUGAAGAUUGAUCAUUAUUUCAACAUUACCAGGGGUAAACUGGAAGGAAAAAGGGGAGGAUUAACAACAACAACAACAAAAAGGAGAUGGCAGUGCCCACCUCAUCGCAUUGUUGCUGGGAUCAGAUGAGAAAUCAUCCAUGAAACAGCUCUGCCAAGCAUCAGAUGUGGGCAGCCUUUUAAUGGAUGUCUCUUAGAUAGGCCGAGAGCUGGCCUAGAGUCGUUGAGAACAGGAGUCGGGCCAGAGGCCUAACAUUCAAACCCUGCCCCUGCCAUCCUAGCUGAGUGACGCUGGCCAAGUUCUUGCCUUCUCUGACCCUUGGUUUCUGCGUUUGUGAAAUGAGAUUACUAGGAGAAUCGCUGUCUUAAUUUAUGUACAGAGCACAGGAUGGAACUCAGCACACAGU